GAUACGUUGUCAUUUGUCUUUCCUACAUGUAUUUUUUCUGUGGGCUUUUUUCCUCCUCUCUUUUGCUGUAUUUGUUUUUGUGGGAGAGUUAGGGACCUUCCAAAACCAUGAAGCUGUCACCUUCUUCCUUCCUUUGCCUAAUUUUUAAAUGAUCACAGGCUGCUCCAGCAACGAUGCGUGUCAAGAAUGUAUGGGGAGACUGGAAGAACAGACAUGAAGCUACUGCUAUGGUGAGUUUCUGAACCACUGAGUUAAAGCCUCAUAUUGAAUGAAGAAAAUAACAACUGAAGAUAAAUGCCUUGAUAUCACCCUUCACCCCACUAAAAAUAUAGAAAGCUUUGCUUCUUCAGGAUAUUUUCAUUCUGCGAAGAGCUGCUCUCACUGACCAGAAAAUAAUGCCACAAACAACUUCAGCAACAUCCUUACUACGGCCCAUGAUCCCACUGGAAGUGAAAGCAUUGUUUCCUGUUGCUCAAGUAGAAAUAUCUUAAGGACGGUGGUUUCUGGAGACACUAAGAUGAUCUUCUUGCAGACUGACAGGCAUCUAGAUAUUUUCCCACCAUUCCAAUUCUUUCUUCACCUGAGAAGAGAGAGAAUCCAUUAUUUGUCCUAUUGCUUUUGAUAUAUGGUUUGAAGUCUCUAGCCAUUCUGCUAAAGAAGAUAAUUUUUAUGCACUUAAUAAAUGGAAGAAAACAUCUC
rnacentral:lncRNA from 1 species